GAUGUUGGCUUAGAAGGAGCCAUCAUUUAAAGAAAGAUUAAUAGCUCACUGUUCGAGUCGGCCUGCGCGGAAGAUGUAACUGGGCUAAACCAUGCACCGAUGCUGCGGCAGCGAACGUAUCACCCAAGACAACUUUACGGAGUUGUCGAUUGACGGAGCGAAGCGACGUCAAAGCGUUCUUUAUUGUCGAGUUGGCUUAGUGAUACGUUCGUUGGGUAGGGGAGCGUUCUGUAAG
rnacentral:rRNA from 1 species